CACUGUGUUUUAAAACCGGAGUGGAUUCAUCUCGUUGCCGGGCAGCGAUGCUCGUGGCCAAGCGAAGCGAUAAAGUGGAUCCACUGGGGAGUACGAUCGCAAGUUGGAAACUCAAAAGGAAAUUGGCGGGGCCCGCACAAGCAGUGGAUUAUUGUGGUUUAAUUCGAAGCAACGCGAAGAACCUUAACCAGGGCUUGACAUCCAACUAACGAAGCAGAGAUGCAUUAGGUGCCCUUCGGGGAAAGUUGAGACAGGUGGUGCAUGGUUGUCGUCAGCUCGUGUCGUGAGAUGUUGGGUUAAGUCCCGCAACGAGCGCAACCCUUAUUGUUAGUUGCUACGCAAGAGCACUCUAGCGAGACUGCCGUUGACAAAACGGAGGAAGGUGGGGACGACGUCAAAUCAUCAUGCCGGCUUAUGUCCUGGGCUACACACGUAAUACAAUGGUCGUUAACAGAGGGAAAAGGAGGGGGCGAGAUAGAGCAAAUCCCCAAAAGCGAUCUCAGUUCGGAUUGCAGGCUGCAACUCGCCUGUAUGAAGUCGGAAUUGCUAGUAAUCGCGGAUCAGCAUGCCGCGGUGAAUACGUUCCCGGGCCUUGUACACACCGCCCGUCACACCAUGAGAGUCGGGAACACCCGAAGUCCGUAGUCUAACCGCAAGGAGGGCGCGGCCGAAGGUGGGCUUGAUAAUUGGGGUGAAGUCGUAACAAGUAAC
rnacentral:rRNA from 1 species